GUCUUUCAACAAUAGCGAGAAUGUGGAUCACAACAAAACAACUACUGGAACUCAGGUGACCAACCAUGAGACUGGUUGCAGUACUUCAGAAGGUGCAGUGAGUAAUACACUGAAGAGAAAGAAGGUUUCUGAAACAACAAGAAUGAAAAAAGCUACUCAAGCAAUCUCUGCUACAACCGGAAACAACAUACUUAGGAAUUCGGGCAGGGAAACAUGAAAGAUGGUCAUAGAAGCCUAGAAAUGCUGGUACACUGCUCAAGGUUGAAGUUGAAGGUGACACAUCGCUGAUUUGGCUUGCCCUUGUGUGUGCCCGUCUAAGAUUGGCUUGCUCUUAUGCUGGUACACUGCUGAUUGGAUUGCUCUUGCAUCAAGCUGGAACACUUGUUCGUAUUGUUGUCACAACAUUAGGAAGUGACCUGUGUGUUUCUGAUUGAUACUUUGAUAUUGUUUCUGAAUUUGUGAAGAUGUUCUGAUGGUGAUGCUUUGCAUUAUUCGCAUGCACGAUGAUACUUCUAGCCGAUGCAAGCUUCUCAAUCUUUUUUUC